rnacentral:rRNA from 1 species
AACGUAGGUGGCAAGCGUUAUCCGGAAUUACUGGGCGUAAAGGGUGUGCAGGCGGGAGUGCAAGUGGUGUAUGAAAACGUCCGGCUUAACCGGGCGCUGUUAUGCCAGACUGCAGUUCUAGAGGACGAGAGAGGGGGGUGGAAUUCCGGGUGUAGUGGUGAAAUGCGUAGAGAUCCGGAGGAACCCCAGAGGCGAAGGCGGCCCCCUGGCU